UGCCCGGUCGUCUAAUGGUAGGACAACUGGCUCUGAACCAGUUUAUCAGGGUUCGAAUCCUUGCUGGGCAG
rnacentral:tRNA from 1 species